rnacentral:lncRNA from 1 species
AAAAAGCAAAGAACAUUCUCUUGUCCUUGGCAAAAACAUCAGAAGAACAGAUGGAAGCUAAGCAGAUCACAGGAUGUGCCAACGAGCUGAUAGUCAACAGUAUUCCCAGUGACAUCAAUGAUAAUGAUGAAAACGAGUAUGACGAUGAUGAUGGAAGUGGUGGUGAUGAUGAUGACGACAUUGAUGAAAAAGAGAGCAUUUUGUCAGGAGAAAAAUUGGAUAAACUGAUAAUUAGUGGAAGUGCUGCAUCUCAGACAUAAGAAAGUACUGCAAAAUGAAGCUAGAAAUUUUGUAAAUCUUAAUAGUCUUGUUA